AUUGUCGUCUGCUACCGGUUAUUGUUUGUUAUUUGCUGACUGGGAAUCGGACAAAUCGCUGUAAUUUUUCGCGAUUACUUGUCGAAAUCUUAUCCUCAGCAUCUUUCUAGUCUAAAUGAACGGCAUUUUUGAGAGGUCAGUCAAAGGUUUUGCUCACGGUCAACUAUUAAUAUGGAAUGACAGGAAGCCUUGAAGAAUUACUAAACAAAAGACUGAAAAGAAAGAAUUCAGAAAUUUGAGAAACGAAGAGAAAAAUACUAUUAACGGACCUUGGGUUUUUAAUCAAAGUACCGUUGCAAUCCUACCUCCGUCGUUAAAUAAAGGAAAGGAGUGAUGUAUGCGUUCUUCCUAGUUAUCUCCUGCCUAACUACGAUUACUCAAGGAUGUUCGCUUUCCGUUUCGGCUGAUUGGCUUGUUAAUAAAACAUGGUGUGGUAAUUUGAUCAACGGUUUUAGAACGAGGAAACUUGAAUUGAAGUUUUCUUCAAGUCACUUAGAUGAACGUCAUUUCGGAGAUUUUUCUGCUUGGUCAAAUAAAUACAAAUGCAAGAAAAUUAUAUCGGCGGACGAUCAAUCCGUAACACUUCAACUAGUCAAAAAAUCGAACCAAAAAGAAUACUGUUAUAACUAUUACAAGUUAAGUUCCGUUGCAAUGAGACGAAGUUCCGGUCGCGAUUGUAAUAAGCUUACAAAGGAAAAUAUGCUAUUUAUUGAUAAGAUAGGAAUUGAAUCUUCUCAACGAAAACCGUGCUCUGAUAUUGCAGAAGGUGGAUUUAAAGCCAGAUUGAGACAUUUAGAUAGCAGCAAACAAUGCAUGAAAGAAGAUAUUGCAUCAUCUAUAAAUUCUGAAUGUUAUACUCAUGCUGGUCUCUAUAUUGUACCAUACGAACUUACAUGCCUUCCCUCUUAUUAUUUCUUUAGUAGUAUGCGCUUUUUCUGUAGAAUAUCAUGGAUGGAAAAAGGUUAUAUGUUCACAGUAGCAGAAUUGGCCGGAUAUACAGAUAAUAAAUAUUGGCUAAUAAGAACUGAUCCUAAUCCUUUGUACAAAGAGUUUGGGUAUACUCAUUCUCUUAUUAUAUCUAGACACUUUGAAGAAACCCUCGAAAAGAAGCCAAAAUCUAUGGACGCUAUAGAAUUUAGUAUGCAAAGGGAUUCGUACGUUAUAAAUAAUUAUGACCUUUGUAUGGAUACUUUCAGAGUCUGUCAAACGGAUGAUUUAAUAUGCGCAAAGAGAAAGACUAAAUGUCCUAGUAAAUGUGGAAUAUGUGAAAGGUUGAAUCCACGUCUAGAUUUUUUUCAUAGCAGUUUAAUUGGAAAUUGGACUGUAAACAAUUAUUCAGUUUCUAUAAAUGAAUCUUCGAUAAUAACAGACACCGGAGAUAAAUUUGAUUGCGUUCAAUUUCGACAUAGCUCAAUUAAAUCAGGAUCGGAUCCGAAUACCAAGCAAUAUUUUGUUGUCAAUUUAAAGAAGAAUGGUUGCGGGCCUAAAUAUACUUGUAUAACAUUUCGUAAGAAUUCUGAUGAGACUUUACUUAUGAAAAUGGGAGAACCUAGGGACAUAUCUCUACUUUAUAAAGAUGGAAAUAGUUCUGCUUCCUGUUCAGAAAACGAUUGUGGUUUGUACUGUAGAUCAAGAAAGUUCGAUAAAGGCAUACUAAGAAGAGGCUCACUCCAACCGUUUUUCAAGAAUGUCUCUAGUAUUGAAAGAGUUAAUUGUAAAUUUCCAAAGCAUAUUAGAAGAGCUAAAGAGUGGGUUGUUGAAAAAUACUCUUCAAAUAAAGCGGAGACUUGUCCAAUUAGAGUCGUAUUUAAAAAACAACGGGUGCUACUUAAUACCGAUAGAAAUUGUACUUUUAAAGUUUCUACAUAUUACAAUUGUUAUGGUUCCUUUAUAAUGGAUAAUAAUUCUGACAGUAUGCAAUUAAUUAGUGCCAAGAGAGAGAAACAAGUAAAUAUGAGGUCUUUUUGCGUCCCUAAAAUGAAUAAAGAUUCAGAUCACUACAAAUUCUACUUAACCAAAGAUCUAGAUUGUUCAAAAGUUUUGUCAAAUAAGUUGUUUUCGUUCCGAUACAAAUAUAAUAGAAUAACAACAUCUACAGUAUCAACAACCUCCUUCGUUAUGACUUCUCCACCGGAAGACAACAAAUUGAAUACAAGUGUAACUGAAUUUGAUACCGAUACAAAAAACUCAACAUUUGUAAUUAUGAAAGUUGCGGAAAAUCGAAGCUUUUUAGCCUUAACUUCAAUUUUUGGAGCAUUUUUCCAAUUUUUUUUUACUUGUCAAUGUUUUAAGUAAAUAAAUAAUUGGAAGACUAUUUAUUACUAUUAAUAUGCCAGAUUCAGCAAAAAAUUAAGUGUGCUUUAACGGAUGUAAAUAUCAAUUAACAUUAAUAGAAUGGAAUGAGAACAAAUCAUCUUUUCUAAUGACUAUUUUCUUUGUUAUUAGACAUUUUCUUACAUAUAUAUAAUAUAUAUAUGUAUACAGUUUAUACACACUCAUUUUGUUAUUAGUUAUAUAAAAAAAACUAUAUUUUUUUAAUGCCAAU
rnacentral:misc_RNA from 1 species